GAUGAACGCUGGCGGCGUGCCUAAUACAUGCAAGUCGAGCGAACAGACGAGGAGCUUGCUCCUCUGACGUUAGCGGCGGACGGGUGAGUAACACGUGGAUAACCUACCUAUAAGACUGGGAUAACUUCGGGAAACCGGAGCUAAUACCGGAUAAUAUAUUGAACCGCAUGGUUCAAUAGUGAAAGACGGUUUUGCUGUCACUUAUAGAUGGAUCCGCGCCGCGUUAGCUAGUUGGUAAGGUAACGGCUUACCAAGGCAACGAUGCGUAGCCGACCUGAGAGGGUGAUCGGCCACACUGAAACUGAGACACGGUCCAGACUCCUACGGGAGGCAGCAGUAGGGAAUCUUCCGCAAUGGGCGAAAGCCUGACGGAGCAACGCCGCGUGAGUGAUGAAGGUCUUCGGAUCGUAAAACUCUGUUAUUAGGGAAGAACAAAUGUGUAAGUAACUAUGCACGUCUUGACGGUACCUAAUCAGAAAGCCACGGCUAACUACGUGCCAGCCGCCGCAGUAA
rnacentral:rRNA from 1 species